GAGAAGCAAGACCGUGAGGUGGAGCAAAACUCAAAAACUUAGUCUCAGUUCGGAUUGUAGGCUGAAACUCGCCUACAUGAAGCUGGAGUUGCUAGUAAUCGCGAAUCAGCAUGUCGCGGUGAAUACGUUCCCGGGCCUUGUACACACCGCCCGUCACACCAUGAGAGUUGGCAAUACCCAACGUACGUGAUCUAACCCGCAAGGGAGGAAGCGUCCUAAGGUAGGGUCAGCGAUUGGGGUGAAGUCGUAACAAGGUAAC
rnacentral:rRNA from 1 species